UACGAGGGGGGCAAGCGUUGUCCGGAAUCAUUGGGCGUAAAGAGCGUGUAGGCGGCCACUUAAGUCCUGCGUGAAAUCUUGCGGCUCAACCGCAAGCGGUCGUGGGAAACUGGGUGGCUAGAGUGCGGGAGAGGAGAGUGGAAUUCCUGGUGUAGCGGUGGAAUGCGCAGAUAUCAGGAGGAACACCCGUGGCGAAAGCGGCUCUCUGGGACGGUACUGACGCUGAGACGCGAAAGCGUGGGGAGCAAACAGG
rnacentral:rRNA from 1 species